rnacentral:rRNA from 1 species
GGGUUGUGAGGUUAAGCGACUAAGCGUACACGGUGGAUGCCCUGGCAGUCAGAGGCGAUGAAGGACGUGCUAAUCUGCGAUAAGCGCCGGUAAGGUGAUAUGAACCGUUAUAACCGGCGAUUUCCGAAUGGGGAAACCCAGUGUGACUCGUCACACUAUCAUUAACUGAAUCCAUAGGUUAAUGAGGCGAACCGGGGGAACUGAAACAUCUAAGUACCCCGAGGAAAAGAAAUCAACCGAGAUUCCCCCAGUAGCGGCGAGCGAACGGGGAGGAGCCCAGAGCCUGAAUCAGCAUGUGUGUUAGUGGAAGCGUCUGGAAAGGCGCGCGAUACAGGGUGACAGCCCCGUACACAAAAGCGCAUGUGCUGUGAGCUCGAUGAGUAGGGCGGGACACGUGGUAUCCUGUCUGAAUAUGGGGGGACCAUCCUCCAAGGCUAAAUACUCCUGACUGACCGAUAGUGAACCAGUACCGUGAGGGAAAGGCGAAAAGAACCCCGGCGAGGGGAGUGAAAAAGAACCUGAAACCGUGUACGUACAAGCAGUGGGAGCACAGGUUUACCUGUGUGACUGCGUACCUUUUGUAUAAUGGGUCAGCGACUUAUAUUCUGUAGCAAGGUUAACCGAAUAGGGGAGCCGGAGGGAAACCGAGUCUUAAUUGGGCGUUAAGUUGCAGGGUAUAGACCCGAAACCCGGUGAUCUAGCCAUGGGCAGGUUGAAGGUUGGGUAACACUAACUGGAGGACCGAACCGACUAAUGUUGAAAAAUUAGCGGAUGACCUGUGGCUGGGGGUGAAAGGCCAAUCAAACCGGGAGAUAGCUGGUUCUCCCCGAAAGCUAUUUAGGUAGCGCCUCGUGAAUUCAUCUCCGGGGGUAGAGCACUGUUUCGGCUAGGGGGCCAUCCCGGCUUACCAACCCGAUGCAAACUGCGAAUACCGGAGAAUGUUAUCACGGGAGACACACGGCGGGUGCUAACGUCCGUCGUGAAGAGGGAAACAACCCAGACCGCCAGCUAAGGUCCCAAAGUCAUGGUUAAGUGGGAAACGAUGUGGGAAGGCCCAGACAGCCAGGAUGUUGGCUUAGAAGCAGCCAUCAUUUAAAGAAAGCGUAAUAGCUCACUGGUCGAGUCGGCCUGCGCGGAAGAUGUAACGGGGCUAAACCAUGCACCGAAGCUGCGGCAGCGACACUCAGGUGUUGUUGGGUAGGGGAGCGUUCUGUAAGCCUGCGAAGGUGGCCUGUGAGGGUUGCUGGAGGUAUCAGAAGUGCGAAUGCUGACAUAAGUAACGAUAAAGCGGGUGAAAAGCCCGCUCGCCGGAAGACCAAGGGUUCCUGUCCAACGUUAAUCGGGGCAGGGUGAGUCGACCCCUAAGGC